ensembl:lncRNA
AAAUUAAAAUACUUUUUUUGGUUUUGCUUGUCUAUUCAAAUAAUUUUUCAAGUUUGAGUUUUCAUGAAUGGCAAGGUUGUUUUUAUAUACAUUCUAUUAUUAAAAAUAUAUGGACUUCUUAAGAUGCUAUUUAAAACAAAACUUGUGAAAAUGCCAUUUAAAACUAAAAUGUGUAAAAUGUAUCCUCUUUAGACACAGUGACGUUGAGCAACAUUGCUUGAGAUUAUGCUGAGCAUCCUUGCAGCUGGCUCCAUAUUCUUCCCAGGCCUCUUCCUGCUGUCCAAGCGAUUCCUGAAACAUGUUCCUGGGAUCAAAUGGAGCGAGAAGGAUGCUGUCAUCAUCUCGUCCAGACUGGUGUCCUCCGUUCAGGCCAUUAUGGCAUCCUCUGCCGGGUACAUCAUCGCCUGUUCUUGUGAAGACAUUAUUGAGGACCAGCAUUGGCUUACCAGCAGCUAUAUCCUCUUUGCUGUCCCCUACUUCGUCUAUGACAUCUAUGCCAUGUUCUUGUGUUACUGGUACAAACUUCAGGUCAAAGAUCAUGAGGAGGAGAGCGAGGCCAAAUCAAUGAGGUCAGCCAUCAGUGGCUAUCUGCGCCGAGAGUUCCUCAUGGUCUUGCACCAUGUCGUCAUGGUUACUGUCUGUUUCCCUGUCUCUGUGUUCUGGAGACAGGGCAAAGGGGAUUAUUUCCAGGGUGUGAUGUUCCUGGCAGAACUCAGCACCCCAUCUGUCUGUCUGGGAAAAAUACUCAUCCAGUAUAAGCGACAGCACACUCUCCUACAUAAAGUCAAUGGAGCUCUUAUGCUGGUCACUUUCUUCAUCUGCAGAGUUCUUCUCUUCCCCUACCUCUACUACGCCUACGGCAGGUAUGCAUCCAUCCCCUUCUACAUGGUGCCGCUGUCUGUGCCCUGGCAGUGUAACGCAGGUGCAGCUUUGCUCAUGGCUCCGCAGGUCUACUGGUUUUCCCUCAUCUCCAGGGGUGCUUUCCGUCUCUUCACUGGAGCCUCACGGCACAAAGCGACCCCUAGCAGCACAGACUCUGAACCGAAAACCUCACUCCGGCCCCCUGCCAACGGAUACAGCCCCAGAGAGACUGACUCGCACUGAGAGAGGAGUAGAGAUAGAGAUGUAGGUACAGGGUAGCUGGGUUUAGACCAAACAGGAGACUGAAGGCAGAUCAUCUUAUUACAAAGGGUGGAUCUACCUUAGACCCAGCGGUGUGGGUUAGCAAGCAAAGAAACUGAAGGUCUGUACCCUCGCUAUUCACCGUCAUCCUCUCUUUGAGAAGAAAAUAAGUUUGCAGACCAAACCAAACAGAUAGUUUUCUCCCUAACAUGCAUGUUCUCUGUGUUGGAGCAGUGGGUCUGCUGCUUUGCAGGGUUAGUGCAUCAUUUGUAGAUUAACAUGGUCAUAAGCUUCAGAAAAAGGGACUAAUGUGGAUGCAGCAGGAACAGUAUUUCUAAUGAGUGAUGGAUGGAAGGAUUGAUAGAUCCCUCCUGUUCUCCUCUCUGUGAAUCUCUCUCUCUGUUUGUUACAGUUGCAGAGAGGAUAUGAAAAAGGAAACAGAAAUUUCUCAGUCGAUUUGUACAUACUUUAUCAAUAUUUACACUGAAUUGCAAAUAGAUUUUUAAUGUAUUUUAGAUUUUUGUAGAAUCUGUUUAUUUAUUAUUUAUUCAGUUCUAUUCCUAAUUACGGGAGGAUUAGUUUAGAACAAAACCAUUCACUUCUAAAAAAACGAAGCUGGUGGAUUCAAAACAACCCCUCGUAUCCUCACUGUGGGUGCAUGGCUCCCUUCCAGCUUUCCAGCUCUCUGUUUUCCCCUUUCCUGGUUUUCAUGACAGCUGAAAACAAGAUGGCUGUGGCUGCAUCCAGUUAGUUAGUGAAUCAGCAGUUAGAAAGUAGAAGGGGGGUCAUUUAAAAGAUUUGGAUGAGGCUGAGUAAUGCAUUCGCAUAUCUCUGCUGCAGUACUCCAAUCCUUUUAAGAUCCAGACAUUGGGCGGAGGUAAAAUGCUGCACUUGAAAACCAGGCUAAAGUUGGCAAGGCAUUGGUACGAACCUGAGCCAGACAGUUUGUACAUUUCAUACAGUUUUAUAUGAGGAGAAUGCCAGCAUAAUGGCCCUCGCUUACCUCUAAGUAGACCCACACCACAAUAUGGAUUCAUUGAUUGUAAUCUGCACAUUGAACGGGUAACAACUGUGUUCUUUCUCCACACUGACGAGAUGUUUCUUAACUGCUUUUGUUUAUGUCCAGAUAUAUAGGAGGUCCACUGAUGAUGCGUUUUGUCACCAAUUAGUUCUCACUUUUAUGGUAAAAGUGUCAUUGGUGUAACACUGUCAUCACAUACCUCCCUUAGGCUUGAUUCUUUGGCUAUGCUCUCAAACAGGACUCUGCCAGUUUGACGUUAAACAGUAUUAUUAGGGGAGGAAGUGAGAGGAUGGCGCACAAGGUGGAUUCUAGAAGUGACUCUUGCACUGAAUUAUCAUAAGGAGGGGUGCUAAACAAACAUCCAAGUCUGUGAGAUACCGUAAUAUGCUGUAAUUAUGCUUAUUGUUAAUUUAUUCUUUUAAUUUAUGUAUUUAUUUGGCCAAGUCUGAAUGUAGAUAUGACUUCACAUCUAAGUGUUCUUCUGUGUAGGCUUCUGUUUAUCUAGUUGCCUGAAGACUGUUCUGUAAUUCUGGUUUUCUCAGCUGAAAUAUACUCUUGCUCUCUCCUGCUGUGCUCUGAUGCUGUGUUUGACCUCCUUUUAUAAUGAAACAAAGGUUCUCUGUGCCACUUGCUUAGUGUGUGUGAUUGUGUGAGAGAGGAAAUGAUAAUUAGUUAAAUGAAAUUUGCCUGUAUGUAUUUCUUUAGUAUAUUGAAGCACCAUGCCAGUUACUCUCGGUUUCUUCAUUCCUAAAUUCUUGUCUUAGUUAUGUUAAUUGUGCAGUAAAAAUGCCUAAUCAACCAAUAGUUUUUACAAGAAAAAAUAAAUAAAAAAGCUCGCUCUUGUAUAGCCA